rnacentral:miRNA from 1 species
CAAGGGUCCUGAAGCUUCGUCU